AAGUGUUGACUGUUUUAUAUUAAUAGGACUAUGUGUUAUUUUUUUCGUUAAAUAUUGAAACAACUAGGGGACUUUUGUCCCGAAUAUGCAGUUUGUCAGAGGUCAUUCAGUGUAACGGGAUCAGGAAACCAUUUUGAAAUUAAAUAAACAAACAAUACUCAUCAAGCAGUCUGUGACAUCAUCAAAAGACCCCCUGAAGACCAUGUGGUGAUUCAGCAAGAUGCCCACAAACAAAGAGAAAGUUUCUAGGCACUGGCAGAAAGUUAAUGCAGACCCAGUAGCUAGGGCAAUGCAUUUAGCAAGGAGACGAGAAAGCAACCAGAGAAGAAAGCAAGCUGCCUUGGCUGCAAAUCCUGAUCACCCGUCAAUCAGGAAUUUAUCAGAUGCUGCAGCUGAGAAGAGGCGAAAGCAAUGGCGGGAAAAUCAAAGAAAACACAGGGCAGAAGCUAAACGUAUAAGGGCAGUUCUGGAUCUUAUUAUACAGUAUUACCACCUGUUCAGUUAAUUUUUACGAAUAUGAUAUGCAUUAUGGAAUAAAAAUGAUUAUUAAUUUCA